rnacentral:rRNA from 1 species
GAGUUUGAUCCUGGCUCAGAACGUACGCUGGCGGCACGCCUAACACAUGCAAGUCGAACGCAGUAGCAAUACUGAGUGGCAAACGGGUGAGUAUAAUGUGGGAAUCUGCCUUUUGGUUUGGAAUAACACGGGGAAACUUGUGCUAAUACCGAAUAAGCCCUUACGGGGAAAGUUUUAACGCCGAAAGAUGAGCCUGCACUUGAUUAGCUAGUUGGUAAGGUAAAGGCUUACCAAGGCAACGAUCAAUAGCUGUUCUUAGAGGAAGACCAGCCACAUUGGGACUGAGACACGGCCCAGACUCCUACGGGAGGCAGCAGUGGGGAAUCUUGCACAAUGGGGGAAACCCUGAUGCAGCGAUGCCGCGUGAGUGAAGAAGGCCUUUGGGUUGUAAAACUCUUUCGUCGGGGAAGAAAAUGACUGUACCCGAAUAAGAAGGUCCGGCUAACUUCGUGCCAGCAGCCGCGGUAAUACGAAGGGACCUAGCGUAGUUCGGAAUUACUGGGCUUAAAGAGCUCGUAGGUGGUUAAAAAAGUUGAUGGUGAAAUCCCAAGGCUCAACCUUGGAACUGCCAUCAAAACUUUUUAGCUAGAGUGUGAUAGAGGUAAGUGGAAUUUCUAGUGUAGAGGUGAAAUUCGUAGAUAUUAGAAAGAACACCAAAUGCGAAGGCAACUUACUGGGUCACUACUGACACUGAGGAGCGAAAGCAUGGGUAGCGAAGAGGAUUAGAUACCCUCGUAGUCCAUGCCGUAAACGAUGUGUGCUAGACGUUGGGAAUAUAUUUUUCAGUGUCGCAGCGAAAGCAUUAAGCACACCGCCUGGGGAGUACGACCGCAAGGUUAAAACUCAAAUGAAUUUGACGGGGACCCGCACAAGCAGUGGAGCAUGUGGGUUUAAUUUCGAAGAUACGCGCAGANCUUACCACACUUGACAUGUUCGUCGCGAGACUAGAGAUAGUCUUUUCAGUUCNCUGNCGAAACACAGNGCUGCAUGGCUGUCGUCAGCUCGNGUCGNGAAGAANNNUUG